rnacentral:rRNA from 1 species
CCUACGGGUGGCUGCAGUAGGGAAUAUUGCUCAAUGGGGGAAACCCUGAAGCAGCAACGCCGCGUGAAGGAUGAAGGUUUUCGGGUUGUAAACUCCUUUUGUUAGAGAAGAAAAUGACGGUAUCUAACGAAUAAGCACCGGCCAAUACCGUGCCAGCAGCCGCGGCAAUACGGAGGGUGCAGGCGUGACGCGGCAUAACUUGGCGUAGAGAGCGCGGAGGCGGGAUAGCAAGUCAGAUGUGAAAUCCGAGGCCUGAACCAGAGUACUGCAUUUGAUACUGUUAUUCUAGAGUAUGGGAGAGGUAGCUGGAAUUCUUGGUGUAGGGGUAAAAUGCGUAGAGAUCAAGAGGAAGACUCAUGGCGAAGGCGGGCUGCUAGAACAUAACUGACGCUGAUGCGCGAAAGCGUGGGGAGCAAACAGGAUUAGAUACCCCUGUAGUC